UGGGGAAUAUUGCGCAAUGGGGGAAACCCUGACGCAGCCAUGCCGCGUGAGUGAAGAAGGUCUUCGGAUCGUAAAGCUCUUUCAACGGUGAAGAUGAUGACGGUAGCCGUAGAAGAAGCCCCGGCUAACUUCGUGCCAGCAGCCGCGGUAAUACGAAGGGGGCAAGCGUUGUUCGGAAUUACUGGGCGUAAAGGGCGUGUAGGCGGCCAAUUAAGUCAGAGGUGAAAUCCCCGAGCUCAACUUGGGAACUGCCUUUGAUACUGGUUGGCUAGAGUUCGGGAGAGGGUAGUGGAAUUCCCAGUGUAGAGGUGAAAUUCGUAGAUAUUGGGAAGAACACCAGUGGCGAAGGCGGCUACCUGGACCGAUACUGACGCUGAGGCGCGAAAGCGUGGGGAGCAAACAGGAUUAGAUACCCUGGUAGUCCACGCCGUAAACGAUGUCUGCUAGUCGUUGGGGAGCAUAGCUCUUCGGUGACGCAGCUAACGGAUUAAGCAGACCGCCUGGGGAGUACGGCCGCAAGGUUAAAA
rnacentral:rRNA from 1 species